rnacentral:tRNA from 1 species
GAACCAUUAGCUCAGUCGGCAGAGCACCUGACUCUUAAUCAGGGUGUCGAUGGUUCGAGUCCAUCAUGGCUCACCA